AGUGGCGCAAGGGUGAGUAAUGUAUACGUAACCAACCCAUCGGAGACGGAUAACAUUUCGAAAGGGAUGCUAAAACGGCAUGAAGCCACGAUUUCGCAUGAGAUUGUGGUUAAAGAACCGGUAACAGGUUGCCGAUGGUUGGGCGUAUAUCCGAUUAGCUAGUUGGUAGUGUAACGGACUACCAAGGCGACGAUCGGUAGCUGGUCUGAGAGGAUGAUCAGCCACACUGGCACUGAGACACGGGCCAGACUCCUACGGGAGGCAGCAGUGGGGAAUAUUGGGCAAUGCCCGCAAGGGUGACCCAGCAACGCCGCGUGGAGGAUGAAGGCCGUAAGGUUGUAAACUCUGACAAGCAGGGAAGAACGGCUAUGGUAAAAGGCCAUAGAAUGACGGUACCUGCCUGAAGCCCCGGCUAACUACGUGCCAGCAGCCGCGGUAAUACGUAGGGGGCGAGCGUUGUCCGGAUUUACUGGGUGUAAAGGGUGCGUAGGCGGGCUAGUAAGUCAGUGGUUAAAAACCGUUGCUUAACAACGGGGGUGCCAUUGAUACUAUUAGUCUAGAGUUCGGUAGGGAGAGCUGGAAUUCCUGGUGUAGUGGUGAAAUACGCAGAUAUCAGGAGGAAUACCGGAGGCGAAGGCGAGCUCUUGGGCCGCUACUGACGCUGAGGCACGAAAGCGUGGGGAUCAAACAGGAUUANAUACCCUGNUAGUCCACGCUGUAAACGAUGAUAACUCGAUGUCGGCCGUAANNNCGGUGUCUAAGCAAACGCNAUAAGUUAUCCACCUGGGGAGUACNACCGCAAGGUUGAAACUCNAAU
rnacentral:rRNA from 1 species